AUCAAAAACAUCGCCUGCAGACAACAAUUGUAGGUACCGUCUGCCCAGUGACACACGUUCAACGGCCGCAGUACCCUGACUGUGCAAAGGUAGCAUAAUCACUUGCCGCCUAAUUAGCGGCUAGAAUGAAUGACAAAACGAAAGCUGCAUUUUAUUGUCCACAACCCUAAAAAUUAACAUUCUGAUGAAAAUUUCAGAAUAAUGCUGAAAGACAAUAAGACCCUACUGAGCUUCAAGUCUCCCCCUGUUCUACAGGCGAAAAUACUUUUAGCUGGGGCGGCUAAAGAGCAACCCACAACCUCUUUCCAUCCUAAGACCAACCAGUCCCACAAAUGACCCUUUUAGAGAUCAUAGGCCAAAAGCUACCAUAGGGAUAACAGACUAAUUUUCCUCGAGAGCCCAAAUUGACAGGAAAGCUUGGCACCUCGAUGUUGGCUUAGGGAUGCAGCCUGCUGCAGCAGGCAGGCACUGCUGGUUUGUUCAACCAUUAAACCCCUACAUGAUCUGAGUU
rnacentral:rRNA from 1 species